GUGGGGAAUAUUGGGCAAUGGGGGAAACCCUGACCCAGCAACGCCGCGUGAAGGAAGAAGGUUUUCGGAUCGUAAACUUCUAUCCUUGGUGAAGAUAAUGACGGUAGCCAAGAAGGAAGCGCCGGCUAACUACGUGCCAGCAGCCGCGGUAAUACGUAGGGGGCAAGCGUUGUCCGGAAUGAUUGGGCGUACAGGGAGCGUAGGCGGCCUGGUAAGUCUGGAGUGAAAGUCCUGCUUUUAAGGUGGGAAUUGCUUUGGAUACUGUCGGGCUUGAGUGCAGGAGAGGUAAGCAGAAUUCCCGGUGUAGCAGUGAAAUGCGUAGAGAUCGGGAGGAACACCAGUGGCGAAGGCGGCUUACUGGACUGUAACUGACGCUGAGGCGCGAAAGUGUGGGGAGCAAACAGGAUUAGAAACCCGAGUAGUCC
rnacentral:rRNA from 1 species